GUCUUGUAAUUUGCAAUAAGUUCCUCGUUUUGCACAUUUUUUUUAUAAGAAUGCACGAUUGGUCAUGCGCGCAUCAUUGUCUUUUGGACAGCCCUGCGCAGAACCACGCAUACGCAAUGAAGACAAACAUCUUUUUAAAGCUUACUGUUGUGAUUUGUGUUCAUGCAGAAUAUUGCGCUGCCAUUAAGUGUUAUACCUGCAUAAUUUCGGGAUGUGAGGAUCACUUCGACAAGAGUGGCCGUACACUUUCUGAUGGCUGUGCUCAAUGCUUGAAGACAAAAUCAGAAACGAGUGGUGUGCAUGCUGUGACACGAUCGUGUCUAUCUGACAACAUUGGAUCAGACGGAUGCUCAAAGACGACUAUAUUGGGCAUGGAAAUGUCCCAGUGUCUCUGCAGCACCGAUGGAUGCAACGGAAGCUCAUCAGUCUACACUACAAUGGUCACCGUCAUUGUCCCUCUGCUGAUGUUGGCGAAACAUGUUGUUUAAAUGUUUUUUAAAUGCAAUGCAUGCGUACAUUUGCUCGUUUAACACCAGUAUGCACGCAUAUAUAGAGUUUGCGUGUAAACUACUGGCAAUGACAUUGACAAAACUAGUAUUGUUUAAUAACAGCUGUUCAAGCCUUUGCUUCUGCAACUACUGUGUACUCGUUUCUAUAUAUAUUUCAGGGUCAAUACUGAACAAUAGAUUAACGGAAUAAACAUGUUGUGUUCAAAGGCG